GCGUGUGUGUGUGUGUGUGGAUAUAUCUAUCUAUAUAUCUAUAUAUAUAUAUAUCCAUAUAUAUAUAUAUAGAUAGAUAUAUCCACACACACACACUGCUGUGU
rnacentral:pre_miRNA from 1 species